CUUACAUAAGUAAGAUGUAUCCAGAGGUGACUUGUGCGAACGUGAGGCAGCCAGGUAUCCCAGAAUGCAUUUCGCACCAACCAGCGAGCG